rnacentral:rRNA from 1 species
UCCUGGCUUAGGAUGAACGCUAGCGAUAGGCCUAACACAUGCAAGUCGAGGGGCAGCACAUGAGUAGCAAUACGAUGGUGGCGACCGGCGCACGGGUGAGUAACACGUAUGCAACCUACCUUUAACAGGGGAAUAACCCGUUGAAAAACGGACUAAUACUCCAUAACACAGGGGUCCCGCAUGGGAAUAUUUGUUAAAGAUUAAUCGGUUGAAGAUGGGCAUGCGUUCCAUUAGCUUGUUGGUGAGGUAACGGCUCACCAAGGCCACGAUGGAUAGGGGAACUGAGAGGUUUAUCCCCCACACUGGAACUGAGACACGGUCCAGCCUCCUACGGGAGGCAGCAGUGAGGAAUAUUGGUCGAUGGAGGCAACUCUGAACCAGCCAAGUCGCGUGAAAGGAUGAAGGUCUUAUGGAUUGUAAACUUCUUUUGCAAGGGAAUAAAGUGGGGGACGUGUCCUCCUUUGCAUGUACCUUGCGAAUAAGGAUCGGCUAACUCCGUGCCAGCAGCCGC